UAAAAAGAUUGCUGUCAUGAUUCUAUAACAGCCACUGGUGAACUCCAAAUUAACUAAUGUUGUAGGCCUAGUUGACCCUCGACUUUGACUACUUCUACCUUCCUGCCGCGUGAUGGCGGCGAUUUCACCGUGCCACAACCAUGGUAGUGGUGGUGUUCUUCUACACGUCCAGGAUUUAGGAAAAAAACAUUGGAGCUGAGGUACAUGUGGUGUACUUGUUUCCUUUGUUGCUUGACUCAGCCAAGGCAACAAGGACCGAGUUCCAGGGAAGCGCCUUCCUCUUCGAGCCUCCCCGCUCCCUGCCAGUAACAUGGGAGCGAUGGUGGAAGCUGGACACCAGGAUCUGUCCUACUUGGUCCACACAAAGGAUGAUGGUGGUGGCACACAAAAAGCAAGAAUGUAGCA